rfam:Stegodyphus mimosarum contig55086, whole genome shotgun sequence.
GCCUUCGUGGUGCAAUGGUCAGCACACUGAGCCGGUAUUUCAGAGGUCCGUGGUUCGAUCCCCGGCGAAGGCA